rnacentral:lncRNA from 13 species
CUAUAGCCACCAUGACAUAUGCAUUAGUGUGUUUUCACACUGCUAUAAAAAAAUCCAAGACUGGGUAAUUUAUUAAGAAAAGAGGUUUAAUUGACUCACAGUUCCACAUAACUGGGGAGGCCUCAGGAAACUUACACUCAUGGCAGAAGGUGAAGAAGCAGCAAGGACCUUCUUCAGAUGGUGCAGGAAAGAGAAGAACGAAGGAGCUGGGCCUUAUAAAAUGAUCAGAUCUUGUGAAAGAACUCACUCACUAUUAACUGGAACAGCAUGAAGGAAAUAGCCCCCAUAAUCCAGUCACCUCCAUUACUUGACACAGGGGGAUUAUAGGUCCCUCUCUUGACACGUGGGGAUUACAGUUUGAGUUGAGAUUUGGGUGGGGGCAGAGAGCCAAACCAUAUCAACAUAUACUUGAUCUCUUGAAAUUAUUACACCUAACUGAAUUUUGUGUCUUUCGACCAACAUUCGCCCUCCUCCCAACCCCCAGUGUCUGGUAACUGCCUUACUGUCUGUUUGUGUAAGUUUGACUUUUGUGUAUUACACAUACAGCUAUAAGUGAGAUGAUGCAGAAUUUGUCUUUGACUCCAGAGAUUACAGUUGUGCUACCACUCUGCUGAUUCAUACCUCUAACCUCUACUGAACUAUACACUUCACUAAACUAUACACUAUGCACAGAGACCAAGUCUUCCUCAUUAAACAGCCAGGCCAAAACAAUGCUUCAAAAACCUAGUAGACAUUUAAGCAUGGUUGAAUAGACACAUGGCUUUGUCUAAACUAUUUGAGCAUAUGCUCAGGUAUACCUGGUUUUAUUGCACUUCACAGAUAUUAUCUUUUUCCAUACAGGAUUGGUGGCAGUCUUAUAUUCAGCAAGUCUAUUGGUGCCAUUUUUCCACAUGCAACAGGAAGUUCAGAGAGCUGCUCUAAUCAUAAACUCUCCAGUGUCCAUCUGCAAUGCUGUGUAUUCACUAGACCUGAUCCUGAUCCUAUGAAAAGUCAGCAUACUGCCUAGAAAGAAAGUGCUCAUCAGUUUAACGCAAACGUCUCAGAUUGGGCAGCUACAAUUAGAGUAAAUACAACCUGAAACUGUUGUAUCCUAGAGACCAAGGCCAGCUCCCUAUGACUUUCCCUUGGUGUUGCUACAACUGCCCAAUAGGGAUGAUUACAAAUCUUGCUCCUUCCCACAAAAAGGCUUUUAUGAACUAUAAUGAUAAAAUAUUGACAAAGCAUUUUUGAAUUUGUGGUUCAGAUAUUCCUGGAAUAUCUCAAUGAAUUCAGAGUUUUGGGUUUAAAGAU